GCUUCACACCUCGACGUGGAAGGGACAAUGGAGGAGGUGACCCUUUGGAGAAGAGGCCAAUGACAUUCAAAUGCACCAAAGAAGACACACCUCAAGAGCUGUCUCUCUAUGCUUUCAAUCUUGAGCUGAAACACAAACCUCUUUCUGAAACACACACACUGAUCACCUUCUCAGAGGAGCUCAACGACAAAUACUUUAGUCAUAUCUCUUCAUUAUGUCUUCAUAAUUACGGAUGUUAAAUGUUCCGCUAAUUAAAAGCACCAACUCUUACCAUGAUGUAUGGUGCCCUUUUGUUUGUCAGCUUUCUAUUAAUAGUUCCUUCUGCGGUGGGCUUAAUUGAUUUCCUGGUGUGCUAAUUGAUUGCGAGGCUAGAGGGAGAUUUGUUUUGGAAGGUGAAUUAAGUUGAUUGUCUUACUUUAGAAACUGAGACCGAGAGAGAGACGGUGAGAGAUAAAAUUGCACCUCAGUCACAGAGGCAAUUAAAAGACCCCGACCUCGGCUAACAAUGACUUAUUAUCUCUGCCAGUCCUGAACCUGGGAGGAGAUUAUGUGUGCGAUGGCAUGUUUGCAUGCACGUGUGUGUACCGUCGUUGUCUGCAGACUCCUCGAUCCCAUUAAGCAGUUGGUCAACAAUGUGGAAUCACAUAAUUCUUCACUGAGCUGCAAACCGCGUUCUGGUUGUAUUUGUUACAUAUUGUUUCAACGCUGAUUCAUGUGAUUUGUGUUUUUUGGGCAUCAAACCAAAGAGAAUAUAGAAAUUUGAAUUUUCCUUUUUUAAAUAAUUAAUCAACAUUACUGUUGGAGGGGAUUUCAGUUUUGUCUAAAUGUACAACGUUCACCAAAUGUAACAACUUCAGCUUUUGAUCUGGAAGACUGCGAGACGGAUGUGUGAGAUUUCAGCAGUUAGGCGAAUUAAAAGUUUAUAACUUAAAGUGCUUAAGUAUGUGUAUAUGUAUUGCUUUGUAGAAGAACUGCUCAAUUCUUGGGGAAAAGAUAAUAAUUUCAAACAUUGCACAAAAAGUUGAAAUUGCAAAUUAUAAGUUCUUCUGGAAAGCAAUUUAAAUGAUCGUGUCCGGGCUUGCUAGUAGUUGCCCGGCUUUAGCCGAUUUGUAGCAUCUGAUUUUUUACCAUUUUUUUUUUAAUUUUCCAUGGUUAAACAUGCAGUAAGUACCUGUGUCUACCCAAUACAGCAGCGAGUUAUUACAAAACCCGGAGCCCACUUCACAGCGACAAGAACUCACUAAUUAUUUUAUAAUCACUUAUACGCAUCCCACUGUCGAGCCGCACUUUUAUAUGAGGAAGAAAUCUCUUUUCUUUUUUUUUCUUUUUUAGAACUUUCUCAACAAUAUCUGCAUAUAACGUGAAUGUAUUAGAAAAAUGUUGCAUGUAGGAAAAUAAAAACUGUAUUUUCUUUAAUAAUAGAAACCCCUAUCCUGGUAUUUUGACGACAGCGUAUUAUGAGGGUCUUGUGUUGCCUGAGUGGGACACUCUGAAAGAUAACAGACUGGUCAUUUCAGUGCAAUAACAAUGGCUCCACACUGGAAACCUUGUUAAGUCCCCUGAUGUACCCGACAGCCCUCUGAUCCCGUGAAACGAUUCAAUACCUUUCUGUCCAACUCGUGUCCCCGGGAGCAGUGUCAUAUUUGUUAGAUUUAUGAUCACUUCAUCAAUUGUGUUUUUCAGCCGGUAUGGCUCAGCUUACUGUACGGCUGUGGAAUUACAUGAUCGGGAGUGCAGAAGACGCCACUACAGCUUCUCUCUGAUCUUCUUUCUCUCCUGCCGUUCUCUCUGACUGUCUGUGUCUCCUCCCCAAGGAGGUCUCUCCAAGGUCUUCUCAAUAUCCCCGCUCCCCAUGCGGUUUUGGAUACUUGGCUUAAAACUGAUCAACUAUCAAACAUUUCACCUUGGGAGGGAAGUGAAGCAGAGAAAAUGAAUGUUCGAAGCUGAGAGGAGGGAAACGAGGAAGUAAUAAAAAGAGUGAACGCAUAAAAAAAUGAAAAUAAAAACAAAUGAGCGGGUAUGUUUUUUGUGAGCCCAUAUCAGACUGUGUGUGUGUGUGUCAUUUAGCGUCGGUGCGUUGUUCGCCAGGUCCGCAUUUCCCACAAGGCCUUGCAUGAGCGGGCAAGCGGCUGUUCUCCAGGGACGAUGACAACAGCAGUUCCAUUGUUGCCGCGGUGAUAUAUUGCUUGGGAAUCCCCUCGGGGCAGGAACCACUUAUUUAGACAUCAAAUCAAGACUGAAGACUCACACACACACACACACACACACCAAACACACCCGAUAGGUGCGCACAUACAAGAUGCUUCCUCGUGCACUCAUACACAGGAACGUAUGCAGACUCAGGGAAGUGGAUCCUCACACACACACACACACACACAGGGAUCUGAUAACGCAGAUACAUUGCAGCGUAUGCGUGGUCCGAGGAAAAACAUAAAUGUGCACAUUUACCUUUACUAAAGAACACUGUGAUGGUGGAAAUAUCUGCCGAUAAAAUACUUGAGUAUAAAAAUGUGAUUUCAUCUACCUGAUUGUUAGUCACAUUAUCAAUCGAUAUGAUUGUAUCAAAGGGUAUCGAACCUGCCGUUGGUUUACUUUACUCGUUGGUUUACUAGUCUUGCAGGUCAAAGGUUUGCAUGAUCAAUACAUGGUGAGAAUGUGACUGUAAAUCUACAGCUUCAUCAGUAAAUAUUGCUCAUUCAAAAUAAUUCUCCUGAGGAAACUGAAAUUUCAACUAAAACAAGCUUUUGGAUCCUACUUUUGGAGUUGUUUUUUUCUGUUGGUGUCGUGCUGUAACCCACACAAUGCGAUAGUUUUAAUCAUGCACACGGGACGCCGUUCCCAACACGUCUCCACCGCAUGUGUCCACCAUAUGUGUCUGUGCCUGUGUUUCCUUUUGUCACCAUGGGUUUCUCUACUUCUACUUCUUCACUGAAAACUAGACUUCUCUCAAAACAAUUUAACAUCAAUAAUGAAAAUGGCUUUUUUGAAUCAUUUCUUUCCAUUGCACUCUCCACUUAGAACAUUUGAGUUGUUUACAAAAGAUUACAUUAAAUGCUCAUUUUGAAACCCUUAAUUAGACCUAAAUGUUUAAUCAAACUCGAAGAACCCAACUCUUAAAAAUGGGCACUUUCUCCUUGAUUCAGGGGCAGUAAUCCUGCACAUCGUUCAUCGUUCAGAAUCAGUUAAUCAAAUGCUAUGGUCUCCGUCUUCCCUCCAUAUUUCUUUUAAAUUCCCUCCUUGAUGUGUAUGUCUCUCCAAUACUUACUCACCUGUCAAUCAAUUGCGUCCUCACGCUACGGGUCGUUCAUCAUUCAUCCGUGUGGAUCCCUUCAUUCACUCGCGAGUGGUGAACAAACAGUAAGGUCAAUAAUAACCGGAUCCUUAAAGUGUGGUUCAAAACAUGGAUUUUGAGGGUCAGAGAAAUUCCUUUUCAGCAUCAUAUGUGACUCAAUGUACGGCCAUGAUGAGCUAGAAGUCGUAAUCUAAAGACUCUUAGACGUCAUGGUCAAGAUAUAUAAAUCACAAGAAUGUGGCAAGAAGAAGAGACAUUAAAAUAAAUAUCCUUCAAACGUGUCCUUCGGUCCGGAGUCGGUCGUCUCUCCGUUUGAUUGUCUUCAUCAGUGAAACACACUCGUCUCCGGGGGCUUGAGUGAUUCCCAGUAGAUGUCUUUCCUGAAAUUGAAAAUGAAAACGCGCCCCGAGGCAACUGUCGUCCCCGUGGUGUUUUAUAUUACAAUUUAAUUACAGGAUUCUACCGUCAAAUAAUCAGGAGUAAAUUUGCUCUAGAAUAGGUGGCCAAUCUAUUAAAUUAAAGCAACUCUGUUACACUGGUACUUCUUCUCUCCUUCAGACUACGUCUUAUAUUGUAGUGGGUUAGUUUAGUAAAGCAGGCCGAUGGAGAUGAGAGCCGGUGGUGGGAGAGCGUUCCACGCACGAUAUAACCACUGGAUCUACUUACGUCUCCAGCAUGUGGGAAGCGGAAGUCAAAUGGGAAUCCUGGAGCACUGCAGCUUCAGUGGUUUGCCUGAUGGGACCGAUGUGAAUGAGGAGAUUAUCACCAUGUGACUGGGGAGGAGAGUGGGAAGGCAAUGGGAUAUGAACGGUGUGUGUGUGUGUGUGUGUGUGUGUGUGUGUGGUAAAUGGACUGUGAAGGUGAGUGGGAGAGGUUAAGUACUAAAUAGUGGGUGAUAGACCCAACUGUGAGCGCGCUGAUUGCAUAAUUGGAUGACUGGACGGCGCCAACGUUUCUCCCGUCGUGAGAAGCAAAAGAGCCGAGUAGAGGGAAGUAAGAAAGUAUAUUAUGAGAUUCUUUCCAGAAGAAAUUUCAUUUUGAGCUGCAAUUAUGAGUUCAUAUGUCUGCGGCGCAUCUUCGGGGCUCUCUGCAUGGUUUCCAUGUCACAUCUUGGUGUAAGUAUGAUUCAUGCUUUUCUUUUUGACUCAACACCUUCUAACCAUCUUAACUAUCCGGACGUAGGCCAAGAAAAAAGAGAAUUUUGAGGAACUUUGAGAAACAGACAAAGUUUCCCUUCACUUUGCUGCCAUGUGGGCAGAUGAUGGAGGAACCUGGAGAGGGGCUGAUCGUGAUGAACCUCCUGCUUGAUAUGAACUGAAGCGCAGCAAAGAGUGAACCUCCGACGUGAAACUGGUAAGAAGGCCCUGGAUGGACGCAGAAGGUCCAGCCUCGGGGUUCCUUAGGAACCCCUGGAGAAGCGUUGCAGGGGAGAAGGACAUUUGAAAUACUCUACCAGGCCUUCUGCCCCGAAGAAGCGUGUGUGGAAAAUGGAUGGAUGGAUGAAUAAAAGUAGAAUAAGACAGGUAGAAGAUUUAAGACUAAGAGCUAAAGUCCAAUGCAAGGAACUUUUUUUUAUGAAAGGUAACAGCAAACAAAAAGGUCUUCAGCCUUUAUUUAAAGGAAACGACAGCAGCAGCAGUUUUUCUUCCUUUAAGGCUCAUACAAACUGAACUGAAUGUAGCGAGGGCGCAAAUGUCGCCAAGGAUGAGCAUUUUGCCGUAACAAUACAAGUAUUUUCAGUCCGAGAAAGCCCAGAUCUGUCACUGCUUCAGCUUCACAAAAAAGACUAACCAUAAGAGUGCCACGUGGAAUCUCCAUUUAUGACCACAACCUGCAGGGACUACAAACAUAAAAGAAUUUUUGCCUUAUAUGUUAAUAUGUAUCUACAGUAUCUGUGCAGGUACAUUCGAUCGAUUUAUGCAUACUUUUAUGUGUUUCUCUGCGAUUUAAUUACAUUGACUUUUUUUGCAUAGGUGUGCAUUUGUGGGUGCUCCUACGACUCAGCAUACAUGCAUGUGUGUGUGUGUGUGUGUGUGUGCUGUGAUUGGUGAAUUGAGGUACUGACCAGAGCUGAGAAGGUCUAUCUUGGAUUCGCUGAUUCAGCACUGCUCAGAAAAAGAAUUAAGGACUGGACACAUGCACACACACGCGCACUCAAACUUUCUACUGCCAACUCGCCCUGCAGAAUGCUCUAACGGACGCAAUCUGACUUCACACACACACACACACACACACACACACACACCUCAAGCGUACAUGCAAGCAAACACACACACACCCUUGUGAAGCAUACACUUAAUGGAAAUGGGAUUAGAUGCAGCUGUAGUUAUUACAGCAAAGUGGUGUGUAGCGCUUAGCUCGCACAGGUCGCACUGUCCUCAUCGACAUGUUGUGUGUGUGUCAGGGAAGCAACAAGAGCACUCAAGAGCAAACCCGGGUUUUAAACAAAAUAGCUUUUAAUAAGAAUAAGCUCUGCCUGCAAGGGAGCAGGCACAAGGUCAUAGGGAACAUAUAAAUGCAAGGUCUCAAUAAAUCAAUGAUGACGAGUUGCGUCAAGAAUAACAGACAAACCGGCAAAAACACACACGGUGUAAAUACACUGGGGAGGUGCAGACGAUACAUGAUUUUAAUGGUCCGGAAGAGACUUUUCUUUUCUUACAGACACACGUUUCACACUCUGAAAUACAGACAAUGAACAAAAUAUCAUGUAUGAGAGUCCAAGAAGCCACAGUCUUAUAGUACCGAGCUUAACAAAAGCACAAAAGGUCCUUAGCCACAAAAUAUGGUUUGGUAAUUGUCUGCAUGUGUUCAGUAAUAUUCAACCAAUCCACAUUAUUUGUUAAUCAUGAAAGCACAGAUCCAUGUGCGCUGCUGCCUGAUUUGUCUGUGUGGUAAGUUAAAUAUGCAGCAACGGUUCUACCAUCUCACACACACACACACACACACACACACAGAAACUGAUCAAACUCUGAGGUUUGUGACGGCAAUGCAAAGGCCUCAUUGGGGGAGGCAACUUCUGUGUGUGGGCUUAGUAACCUAUGCAUGUAUUUACAUUGGGAAAUCCUUGUAUGUGUGUGGGGAUAGGGAAUCCGUGCGUGUGUGUGUGUGUGUGUGUGUGUGUGUGUGCGCGUGCGCGCAUGCGUCCCAUGGGCAGAUUGUGAGGGAGCCUGUGGUGUGAUGUGUGAUGUAAACAGGGAUCAUUAGCAUAGCGACAGCCAGCAGCAUUCACACUGUGUCUACACCUCCAGGGCGCUGACAGACACACAAUCACACACACAAACAAAAGGCGUGCACACUUGGAAGGUAAUAGCUGUCCAAUACAUGUCCAAUAUAAAUAAAGACACACACACACACACACAUUUUACAUUACGCAUUACAUACAUGCAAUCCCAUCUCAUCUCUUCCUGGAGAAACCCCCUGUAUCUUUAUGGAAAUUGACUGCAGACAGGGAUUGGCUUUUUAUGUCUGAUUUACGUUGCACGUUGUGUGUGUCUGCGUGUGUGUGUCUGCGUGUGCGCGUGUGUGCGUGUAUGAAUGUGUAAAUUGAGCGCAGACAGGGAUUGCGUUUUAUGCCUCUUUUAUUGGUCGGCAUAUAGAUGCUGUCAGGAGCGCGUAAAGAGAAAAGGGGAGACGUGAAGAGGAUGGAAGGGGGAGACGAAGAAGCAGAGGGGAGGAAUAGGAAAGAGCACCGGAGGUGAUUGAAGGAGGAGACGUUACCUGUGGAUGGGUGAGCAGAGGGAGCAGGAGGGAAGAUUAGGUGGCAAAAGGGAAAGGAGGUAGAGUGAGGGGAUGUGGACGGGAAGAUGGGGAAAAGACGGGGAGAAUGAAAGCAUAGGACCAGAGGGAAGACCGAGGUGAGAAGAUCAGAGAGCUUUUUGGGUGAUCAAUCCUCGCCUGCUCUGAAGUGGCCCAUUUUCCAACCCCUUGUUUAACAACCUGUGGCGCUACACAGUGCAACGCAGCGCACUGCGUUCCUCUGCGACCCCUCUGCCCUCCAGCAACCACGCAACGCCCGGGAGGGGAGGUGAAGGGAGAGGGGAGAGGGGAGGGGAUGGGAGGGAAGAGAGGGGAGGUGAGGGAGGUUUUCCCGCUGUUUAUUGAUAUUCUGCUUCCGUAAAUACAGACCAAUUCGUCUCUGCUGUCACACACGUGCACACGCUCGCCGACGGGCCUCGAAGCAUGUACACACACACACAAUCGCACACACACACACACACACACACACGCCUCGUGGAUGGAUCCGCGAGAGGAAGGACGGGGAUGUAAAGGUGGAGAGGACGACUAGAGAGGAAAGAGAAACAAGGGAGACAACAAGAGAAGAAGCAAAGAGCAGAUAAAAGGGGAGGGGGGGGAAGAGGGGGGUGAGAGAAAAGUGACGAGAUGUGAGCAGAAGGUGAGGAGGAUGAGAAGAAGGAGAAGCACAAUCCAGAGUGAUUGAUAGGCAAUCCGUGUCAGCCAGGCUUUCCUUGGCAGAGAGACAACGAGGGAUUUGUCUCACGCUUCCGUCCCUCAUUUCUUUCAUUUUUUUCUCAUUUCCACACACGUUUUUUUUACUUUGCGUUUUUAUCAUCACAUUCUCUCCUCCCCCUCUCUGGUUCCAGAGACGGAGUGAGAGGCAUUCAUUUGCUUGAGUUGAUUGCUUUGGAGCCUUUCACACUCGUCAUACCUCUCCUAUUCCACUUCUGUCCCUUGGCUUUCCUUUUCUUCUCCUCCCCGUUUUUUUUUUUCUCUGCAUAAUUUCCAAUUUCCUUCCACCGCCCCCAAAAAUACAAGCACGCCACUGUCUAUCCCCUCUUAUUCACGUCUCUGUGCACUUCACUCGCUCCUUUUUUAAAUUAAUGUUUGAAUUAUUUAGUGACGUAAAGUGAACAUUAUCUCCAGGAAAAGUAGGAAAUAAUUUCAAGACUCAACUAGAAACUUUAUCAAGUGCAAAAGGUGAAAACACUGGUAUGUAACAGCGUCUCAUAGGAUGCAAUAAAGCAUCAGAACUAACAUGUUGUCAUAGCCUCAUUAUCAUCAUCAUAUGGUUUUUAACAACUUGUUGAAUGUACGUUUCAAUAUUUGCUCUCUGCCAACACAGAGUAUGAUCCCUACAAACUCUUGAAGGGUGUAUUUGUUUUAAGUAAAAGCAAAACUGCACAAUAGUGAAAGACUAUUAAAAAAACUCCCCCAACGUAAACAGCAAGUGGUUGAUUCUGAAGCCACCUGUGUAACAUUCAAUGGCUCCCUCUGCAGAACCUGAGCAACAGAAACUAUGGUUACGGUUUUGAAACACUUGUGGUCGUGUGUGAUGGACAUCGUAAGAUUGAGGUUCCUGUUUGGGUCGACAGAAGUGUGUUUUUUGUUAACAUGACGCUAACUAAUGACCGCAUUCUCCCCUCAACUUUAAUCAAGUCUCGCUUAAAAGUCAGAACACCAGAUGUGCAAAUUAUUAAACCCAUCAGGGUACUACAGUGAAAAAACUAAAUAUUUCCUCAAUAUCAUUGAAAUCUUUAAAAUAAUCGCAGCUGCAUGUAGAGAAUAAAACGUACUGAUUUUUAAAUUGAAGCAAACUUUAUUUCCAACAAUCAUAGUAACAAAUGUGCGUUUUUAUGAUAAGAAAAAUAUACAGAAUGACUUUUUCUGUUGAUUAUUUGUAAAAGGUUACUGGUACUUUUUCCUUUUUCCAGAUAAAUGCCAGAAAAGUAAAUGUGUGUUGGGUGAAUUUCCCCAGGAAAAUCUGCAAAAUGUCAAAGCUUUCACAGCCACAGAAUAAAUUCUCACCCUCUGUAAUAGCAGAACGUAACAAAGCUCAUGAAACUGGGUUUUAUUUUAUUUUUUUACACGUCAAACUCACAUAAACAUAUUAUAAAAAAAUUAAUUAUCUCUUCUUACAUGUCCUCCCUUUCUUAUGAAUGUCACCCAUUGGAGUUUUAUUCUGACCCGCGAAAAAAGAGAGCGUGUUUUUCAUACAUUGAAUAAAAGAUAGAUUUGCAUAAUGGCCACUGUUAUUCUGCAGCCUCCUGUUAUUGAAUAAGAACUCUUUUGACAGACGGGGACAAAUGGAGGGAUGCUUGAGUGGGAUGGAGGAGAGGAGGGAUGAAGCGCACAGACGGACGUGUGAACCGUGAAAGAAGAAAUGUAUAGGCUGAGAAAA
ensembl:lncRNA